rnacentral:rRNA from 1 species
UACGUAGGGUGCGAGCGUUAAUCCGAUUUACUGGGCGUAAAGCGUGCGUAGGCGGUUCGUUAAGUUCGUUGUGAAAGCCCCGGGCUCAACCUGGGAAUGGCAAUGGAAACUGGCGGGCUGGAGUAUGGCAGAGGGGGGUGGAAUUCCGCGUGUAGCAGUGAAACGCGUAGAGAUGCGGAGGAACACCGAUGGCGAAGGCAGGUCUCUGGGCCACGACUGACGCUGAGAAGCGAAAGCAUGGGGAGCGAACAGG